GUGGGGAAUAUUGGACAAUGGGCGCAAGCCUGAUCCAGCCAUGCCGCGUGUGUGAAGAAGGCCUUCGGGUUGUAAAGCACUUUUGUCCGGGAAGAAAUCUUCCAGGUUAAUACCCUGGGAGGCUGACGGUACCGGAAGAAUAAGCACCGGCUAACUUCGUGCCAGCAGCCGCGGUAAUACGAAGGGUGCAAGCGUUACUCGGAAUUACUGGGCGUAAAGCGGGCGUAGGUGGUUCGUUAAGUCUGCCGUGAAAGCCCCGGGCUCAACCUGGGAAUGGCGGUGGAUACUGGCGGGCUAGAGUGCGGUAGAGGGUGGUGGAAUUCCUGGUGUAGCAGUGAAAUGCGUAGAGAUCGGGAGGAACAUCUGUGGCGAAGGCGGCCACCUGGACCAGCACUGACACUGAGGCACGAAAGCGUGGGGAGCAAACAGGAUUAGAAACCCUGGUAGUCC
rnacentral:rRNA from 1 species